rnacentral:lncRNA from 1 species
UAGAUACCCAUCUUUCAUAGAAAGUCUUCUGCAGUGUCAACAGCAGUGGCAUUUGUUUUUCACACAGGUUCUUUCAGAGAGUACAGCUCCCUUUCCAGAGGUCUUUGGCACUCACCAGCAGGCAAAGGUUGCAAGUGAGACUCUCACCAGAUGUAUUUGAAAGGAAAGCUGAAAAUCUGAAGCAUAGAGAUGUGAUAGAAUUUCCCAUUGCACCAUCAACAUUUAAACAAGAAAUUGCUGCUUUCUAACAGUGCUAGUCAUCAGCCAACCUACAUGAUUCCUUGGGAAAAAGUGUGCAAUUAGGAAUGGACCUACCAUAUGUGAUUUGAAAACUUGCGUAAUUGUAUUGUAAAUCCUUUGAAAGCACUUGGCGGCAUGAAAUGCUUGUGAAAGAAGCAGUGCAAUAGAAUGGAAUAUGGGGAAAUGAGAUUAUAUAAUUUUUACACA